GAACGCUGGCGGCGUGCUUAACACAUGCAAGUCGAGCGGAGCACAUCGUUGGAAUCCUUCGGGAGGAAGAGGAUGUGGCUUAGCGGCGGACGGGUGAGUAACGCGUGGACAACCUGCCCUAUGCAGGGGGAUAACAUCCGGAAACGGGUGCUAAUACCGCAUAAGCGCACAGUACCGCAUGGUACAGUGUGAAAAGCUGAGGCGGCAUAGGAUGGGUCCGCGUUGGAUUAGGCAGUUGGCGGGGUAACGGCCCACCAAACCGACGAUCCAUAGCCGGCCUGAGAGGGUGGACGGCCACAUUGGGACUGAGACACGGCCCAGACUCCUACGGGAGGCAGCAGUGGGGAAUAUUGCACAAUGGGGGGAACCCUGAUGCAGCGACGCCGCGUGGGUGAGGAAGUACUUCGGUAUGUAAAGCCCUAUCAGCAGGGAAGAAAAUGACGGUACCUGACUAAGAAGCCCCGGCUAACUACGUGCCAGCAGCCGCGGUAAUACGUAGGGGGCA
rnacentral:rRNA from 1 species